rnacentral:rRNA from 1 species
AUCGAACGCUGUCGGCAGGCUUAACACAUGCACGUCGAGCGAGCGGCGGACGGGUGAGUAAUGUCUAGGACACUGCGUGAUGGAGUGUUAUAAUUACUGGAUACGGUAGCUAAUACCGCAUACUACCCGAUCUGCCCCGAUGGGAUUAGCUGGUAGGUGGGGUCAUGGCUCACAUAGGCGACGAUCCCUAGCUGGUCUGAGAGUAUGACCAGCCGGACUGGAACUGAGACACGGUCCAGACUCCGACGGCAGGCAGCAGUGGGGAAUAUUGCAAAAUGGGCGCAAGCCGGAGGCGACGAAGCCCCGUGGGUGGAGGAGGGCUGCGGGUUAGAAAGCACUGUCGGCGAGGAGGCGUUACUCGGCGAGGAGGCACCGGCUAACUCCGUGCCAGCAGCCGCGGUAAUAC